UUUAGUUGGUUCUUAUUUAUUCAUUUACGUAUUUAAAUAUGAGUAAAACUAUUAAAAGUGGAGUUCGACAGAUAUUGGUCUGCAUGAUAUCCAAAUUCCAAGAAAAAGAAGCUGAAUUCUACCAUAUAAAAAACAAGCUUGUUUACGUGUGGUGUUGAAUUUCUUAGGAAAUCUGGAGGAUGUAGAAGGAGUCGAUGUAAUAGUGAGAACUAUGGGUGUAAGUGUAAUGUAAACACAGAAAAAAAGCUAUGUCUAGUAAAACGGUAUAAACCAGAGCCAAUAUGUGAAGCCGAUGAAAUUUUAAAGCACAAUGGUCAUGAGGUAGUAAAACUACCUCCAUACCAUUGUGAUCUAAAUGCCAUUGAGCUGGUAUGGAGUCUAGCAAAACACAGAGUAGCAAAUAAAAAUAUUAAAUUGACUACAGAGCAGUUAGAACAAGUAAUUAAAGAGUACUAAGUCUGAGUGGAAGGAAAUGACUGAUCAUGUUGUACGUGGGGAAAAUAAAUAUAAAGAACGGGGCAGGACUACAGAGGAACAUUUAUAAAGUUUCAUAAUCAAUGUGAGAGACAGUGAUAACAGCAAUGAAUCUGAUGAAUCUAUGCAUAUUAAUUUUUUGGAUUCUGAUUUUGAUUAUUUCGAAUAAAGUUGUGUUUUAUAAUAAAAAGCUGCUGCAAUCGUCCACAAGAAACAAAUUAAAAUUCAAGAAAACCAACAUUCAUGUUUCAUUUUUACUUGAAAUUCACAAUUUAUUAUACUUAACACAAAAUCACAGCGACUGGAAACGUCAAACUGACAGAAAUACAGAGACAAAUUUCUGUUUUUUUCUUAAGUUUAUCAAUGAAAUGCGAC